UACGUAGGGUGCGAGCGUUGUCCGGAAUUAUUGGGCGUAAAGAGCUCGUAGGCGGUUUGUUGCGUCUAUCGUGAAAACCUGCAGCUUAACUGUGGGCUUGCGGUGGAUACGGGCAGACUUGAGUUCGGUAGGGGAGACUGGAAUUCCUGGUGUAGCGGUGAAAUGCGUAGAUAUCAGGAGGAACACCGAUGGCGAAGGCAGGUCUCUGGGCUGACACUGACGCUCAUGCACGAAAGCGUGGGGAGCAAACAGG
rnacentral:rRNA from 1 species